AAAACUUUCAACAACGGAUCUCUUGGUUCUGGCAUCGAUGAAGAACGCAGCGAAAUGCGAUAAGUAAUGUGAAUUGCAGAAUUCAGUGAAUCAUCGAAUCUUUGAACGCACAUUGCGCCCCUCGGUAUUCCGGGGGGCAUGCCUGUUCGAGCGUCUUU
rnacentral:rRNA from 1 species